rnacentral:rRNA from 1 species
CGAACGCUGGCGGCAGGCCUAAUACAUGCAAGUCGAACGGCUCUUCGGAGCAGUGGCGGACGGGUGAGUAACGCGUGGGAAUGUGCCCUUAGGUACGGAACAACACAGGGAAACUUAUGCUAAUACCGUAUGUGCCCUUCGGGGGAAGGAUUUAUCGCCUUUGGAGCAGCCCGCGUUGGAUUAGGUAGUUGGUGAGGUAAAGGCUCACCAAGCCGACGAUCCAUAGCUGGUCUGAGAGGAUGACCAGCCACACUGGGACUGAGACACGGCCCAGACUCCUACGGGAGGCAGCAGUAGGGAAUCUUGCGCAAUGGGCGAAAGCCUGACGCAGCCAUGCCGCGUGUAUGAUGAAGGUCUUAGGAUUGUAAAAUACUUUCACCGGGGAAGAUAAUGACGGUACCCGGAGAAGAAGCCCCGGCUAACUUCGUGCCAGCCGCCGCCGUAAGAC